rnacentral:lncRNA from 1 species
AUGACUUCCGGAUUCAAGGAUCAGAUUCAUCUAUCUCAACCUGAGUGUCCGGAGGGAGGAACGCUGAAGUUUCAAGGAAGACGGUCUAGAGACCCCACCACCUCAGGGUGGUACCGCUGGAGAAUGAGACAUGGCUCCCACUUCUCACAGAAGCCCUCUGCAUCAAUCGCCCACACAUCCAUCAGACCGGUGAAAAAUACCUCCAGAAAAUUUGAACCAGAAUCUUGAACUCUAAAGAGUUAAUGUAACAUUUAUUAAAGAAGCA